rnacentral:SRP_RNA from 1 species
GGUUCGGUGCGUUGCAAGGGAAGCGGUUCGAAUCGGGUCAGGCCGGAGACGGAGCAGCCCUAAGAUCAUGCGACCCUGUGCUGGCGCACCGAGCCCUC